CGCGAAUAGCUCAUUACAACAGCCAUUGUUUCUUGGAUCUUACUCUCUACUUGGAUAACUGUGGUAAUUCUAGAGCUAAUACAUGCACUCAAGUUCUGACGCAAGGAGGAACGCAUUUAUUAGAACUAAACCGAUCGGGCUCGCCCGUUGUUUAGUGAAUCUGAAUAACUCCGCAGAUCGCACGGUCUAGCACCGGCGACAUAUCUUUCAAGUGUCUGCCUUAUCAACUUUCGAUGGUAGUUUAUAUGACUACCAUGGUUGUAACGGGUAACGGAGAAUUAGGGUUCGACUCCGGAGAGGGAGCCUGAGAAACGGCUACCACAUCCAAGGAAGGCAGCAGGCGCGCAAAUUACCCACUCUCGGCACGAGGAGGUAGUGACGAAAAAUAACGAGACAGUUCUCUCAGAGGUCUGUCAUCGGAAUGGGUACAACCUAAACCCUUUAACGAGGAUCUAUUGGAGGGCAAGUCUGGUGCCAGCAGCCGCGGUAAUUCCAGCUCCAAUAGCAUAUAUUAAAGUUGUUGCGGUUAAAAAGCUCGUAGUUGGAUCUCUGGUCUUGCCGGCCGGUCGCCCGCUGGGUUGUACUGGUUGGCGGACCCGAACUGCUAGUGUGUCUGUGCGUGCUCUUCAGUGGGUGCAUACAGUGGCUAGCGCGUUUACUUUGAAAAAAUUAGAGUGCUCAAAGCAGGCUCAUGCCUGAAUAGUGGUGCAUGGAAUAAUGGAAUAGGACGUCAGUUCUAUUUGUUGGUUCGGAAUUUGACGUAAUGAUUAAGAGGGACAGACGGGGGCAUUCGUAUUGCUACGUUAGAGGUGAAAUUCUUGGAUCGUAGCACGACGAACAACUGCGAAAGCAUUUGCCAAGAAUGUUUUCAUUAAUCAAGAACGAAAGUUAGAGGUUCGAAGGCGAUCAGAUACCGCCC
rnacentral:rRNA from 1 species